rnacentral:rRNA from 1 species
AGCAGCCGCGGUAAUUCCAGCUCCAAUAGCGUAUAUUAAAGUUGUUGCAGUUAAAAAGCUCGUAGUUGAAUUUCGGGAUCAAUUAAUUGGUCGUGCCUCUGGUACGUACUGAUUUUAUUGGUUUCUCCCUUCUGACGAACCAUGAUGUCAUUAAUUUGAUGUCGUGGAGAAUCAGGACUGUUACUUUGAAAAAAUUAGAGUGUUUAAAGCAAGCUAACGCUUGAAUACAUUAGCAUGGAAUAAUGAAAUAGGACGUUCGAUCCUAUUUUGUUGGUUUCUAGGAUCGACGUAAUGAUUAAUAGGGAUAGUUGGGGGCAUUAGUAUUCAAUUGUCAGAGGUGAAAUUCUUGGAUUUAUUGAAGACUAACUACUGCGAAAGCAUUUGCCAAGGAUGUUUUCAUUAAUCAAGAACGAAAGUUAAGGGGAUCGAAGACGAUCAGAUACCGUCGUA